UACGGAGGGUGCAAGCGUUGUCCGGAUUUAUUGGGUUUAAAGGGUGCGUAGGCGGCCCGUUAAGUCAGUGGUGAAAGCCUCCAGCUCAACUGGAGAACUGCCAUUGAUACUGACGGGCUUGAGUACAGACGAGGUUGGCGGAAUUGAUUGUGUAGCGGUGAAAUGCGCAGAUAUCAGGAAGAACACCAAUGGCGAAAGCAGCUUUCUGGGACGGUACUGACGCUGAGACGCGAAAGCGUGGGGAGCGAACAGG
rnacentral:rRNA from 1 species